rnacentral:tRNA from 1 species
UGCAUCGGCCGGGAAUCGAACCCGGGCCGCCCACGUGGCAGGCAAGCAUUCUACCACUGAACCACCGAUGC